AUUCAGUAGGAAAUUCAAGCCAUCAGAAGUUUUUGAAUUGUCAUGUGACAAGAUCAGAUGUAUGUUUUAGAAGGACAUGUAAUCACUACACGUGAACAGCGGUUUGAACAAGAGCAAGGAGUCCAGGUCAACCUACAACUGCCCAGGACCACAGCCACACUCAGCAGAGCCUUUUCCUUGCACUGGUCCUCUCUCAGUCCAUGCAUGGUCAGAUGCGGAAAUUCAACACAGG
rnacentral:lncRNA from 1 species